ACGCUUCUCCUCGCUAUUUAUGAGCUGAGCAGCUUGCUGUGAAAAGCUGUCAUGUUUCCCCAGGGUGUGUCAAACCAGAUUUUCUGGCAUGCCAGGCCAUGAAUCUCAUGGUUAUCCAAAAGGAGGGCCUGCUGAGGGGUCUACAGGGAAAGCUACACGUAUGACUUGUUUCAACUUUAGGUUGAAGAGAAGGAACCUACAGUAGCAUCAAAAUGACUGCACUUAUGGUUUGGAUCUGCUGCCCAAUGGCUCAUUAUGUUGGAGGCUUGGUCCCCAGUGCAGCAGUGUUCAGAGAGUUACUGUGCUGAAAGUACAACUGUGAUGCAAAAAGUUCACCAUCCUGGUUUGUGAGAGCCUGUGGGCAGGAGGCAAGCUAGUCUUCCACAAGAGAGACAAUUAAGAGACAAUGGUACAGAAAUGCAUGUUGUAGCACACGCCAGUGCUCCCGUGUAUUGACCUUGCAGCUUCAAGCAACUUAGAGAAUGGCUUGGUUUUCAAAAUUACAAUUCCUCCCAGGUUCUGGAGGCAGGCACAGAGAAGAUUCUUCAGAUUUGAGACUACUUCAGUGAGAUAAAAUACCUAGUUUGGGAAAUGCUGCCCUUUCCUUGGAGACCUGCUGGGAUAUUGGAAUUUCAUGUGCAUCAAAAAUGCAGGGCACACAGAAACAUCUGAAAAGCUGCCAGAGGGAAGCAGUUUAUAUUUCUGUGCAAAGCAUCGCAAUAUCAGGAAGGCAGAGAGUGAAUAUGAGAGGAAGGAAACGGGCAGUUGGUCCCCUGACCGGGGCACUGCAGGUCAGAUAGGUGAUAGGCUGAGCUGGCUGUGGCGGCGUAGCCUUCUUGUGGGUUCUCAGUCACCUAUAACCUUUUAAUCAAAAGGUAAAGAAGAGGAAGAAUGUGGAUUUCACAAUAUUUGAAGCAUCCUGCUAUUGAAAGUAGAGAAGAGGGCACUUUCAGAGGCUUACUACAGGGUAGCAACUGUGGAAAUUUGCUUGGUCAUAAAAAGUAGGAUGAGAUACAGUGAAAAGUAUUUAAAGAGAUCCAAAACUCAAUGAACCCAAUAAUCUUCUGUUAAAAAUAAGCUGAGAGUAAACUUUUUGGGGCGAGAAUAUCAUAAACACUUAAGCACUGAUUGUGUGCAGUCUGAAUGUCCGCAUGUGUGUGUCUAAGCAGUAACAAAAUCCAUCUCUGCUUGUGCAGAUUAUUUUGAGAUCAGUUAAGUGGAAAUAACUAAUGUUCAUGUAUGUAGAAGUUCCCCAUGUGAGUUUCCUUCUCAAAAUAUUGAUUUCCUUUUAUUCCACUGGAAAGGGAGACCUGUGAGGAAUAGAAAGAGGAGGCACUAUCUCUUUAUGAAUACUAAUAAGUAAAUCAAGGGAGACACUGGCACUUCGAGUUUCAUCUUUCCAUUUCCUAGAGGCGCAAACUCUGCAACUUGUCACCUUGGUGUAUUCAGUGCCUUUUGAAGCACUAUACUCCUCCAGAGAGAAUGUCAGCCCCAGCCCUGGGCAGUUUUGACAAACAGAGUAUAUAUUGAUACAUGAUAAAGUAUGCUAGAAAUCACCCCAGCGCUAAAGGCUACUAUAGUUUUAAUAUCAUCAUUUGAAUUAACAAGCAUUCUGUGGAGAAAUAAUGAGCUUUCAUUAUUCAGAACAUCAUCCUUACCCGGGGAACUCAGAAACCAUUAGCUCUUGAGAACUUAAUGAAAAGAUGAUAAAGAAUGUUUUAGAUAAAAGUUUGAACGGGCACACUUGAUAACUGAGGUAAAAUAUUAAUGUUUGUUUGGAUGAUGGAUUAGGGUUGCUCAGCGAGGCUUAGGGAAGUGACAGAAGCCAAGUGUGUGGUCAGGUUGCAGGUGGAGGGUCUGGACCGCCCCAGGGACAGUGUGAGAUGCCAGCUUGGGGAGCUGUGGUCCUGGGAAGACUACUAUGCUUACAGCCUGGCUGCCUCUCCUAUAGCCUGAAGACAGGAGGGAAAGGAGGCAGAUGGGAAGGGAAGGAAUUUAGAAGGGUAAAGUGUGAUCGACAGGUAUGGAUGUACAAAGGGUGAUCAAAUAUAUGGUGAGUGUUUAAAUUUAAAAUGUUUAUUAUAGUAAAAGACACAUUGCUAUUCAUUCACCUCAUAAUACUCUCCCCAACUUUGAGCACACUUAUCUCAUCCUUCUUGCCACUUUCUGAAGCAGUUCUGGAAGUCACCUUUCCUAUCUUAUUACCUUUCUCAUUGCUUGGAUAAACUAUGCAACAGCCCCAAGUUAAAGCAGGAGAGGUUUAUUGUGGCUCACAGUUUGUAGAGGUUUCACUACAUCGCCGGUUGGCUCCAAGGGACUGUGGCAUAGCAGAGGAGAAAAAAUUCAUGGCCUGGCAGGCAGUAAGCAGAGAGGGAUCAAGGGAGGAGGACAGAAAUGUACCUUUCCAGGCCACGCCCACUGUGACCCACUUCUUCCACCAGGCUUCACCUCCCAACAUCACAGCCAGGUGUAAACUCAUCAGUAAAUUAAUCCAGUAUCACACACCACGAUCCAGUCAUCUCCCAAAACCCCCAACUAUGAGUGCAUGAGGCUUUGGCCGGGGGGAAUCUAAAUAUAAACCAUGCCAAGGAUCUUUAGGAAGUGUGAUCACAAAUACAGUGAAUGCUGGGCCAAGUGUCAUCCAGGAGAAAAGUAGGCAUGUAAAAACAUUACGGUGUGUUCUCAUCCACCUUAUUUACUAGAUCUGGCACCAUGUGACUUCUGGCUCUUCUCUAAAGUCAAAAUGGUCAUGAAAGGUAAACAUUUUGAAUUGAUUCAGGACAUUGAGACAGUCAGAACAGCACAAAUAAUGACACAAAAGCAUUUCCAGAACUGCUUCAUAAAGUGGCAAGAACGAUGGGAUAGUGUGUUUGAAAUGAUGGGGAAUAUUUUGAAGGAGGUUAAUGGGACGUAUCUUUUACUGUAAUAAAUUUUUAAAAAUUUAAACAUUCAUCCAAUGUUUCAAUUAUACUUUGUAUAUGUUCAGA